rnacentral:misc_RNA from 1 species
CAUGAAGAACGCAGCGAAAUGCGAUAAGUAGUGUGAAUUGCAGAAUUCAGUGAAUCAUCGAAUCUUUGAACGCACAUUGCGCCCCUUGGUAUUCCAUGGGGCAUGCCUGUUCGAGCGUCAUUUGUACCUUCAAGCUUUGCUUGGUGUUGGGUGUUUGUCUCGCCUUUGCGUGUAGACUCGCCUUAAAAUAAUUGGCAGCCGGCGUAUUGAUUUCGGAGCGCAGUACAUCUCGCGCUUUGCACUCAUAACGACAGCGUCCAAAAGUACAUUUUACACUCUUGACCUCGGAUCAGGUAGGGAUACCCGCUGAACUUAAGCAUAUCAAUAAGCGGAGGA